rnacentral:rRNA from 1 species
GACGAACGCUGGCGGCGUGCUUAACACAUGCAAGUCGAGCGGAGCGGCGAACGGGUGAGUAACGCGUGAGUAACUGCCCCCCUCUCUGGGGUAACAGUUGGAAACGGCUGCUAAUACCGGAUAGUGGGGGAUGACUCGCGUCCUAUCAGCUUGUUGGUUGGGUAGUGGCCUACCAAGGCGACGACGGGUAGCCGGCCUGGGAGGGCGACCGGCCACCGUGGGCUAAGGGACGGCCCAGACUCCUACGGGAGGCAGCGGGGGGGAAUAUUGCACAAUGGGGGAAACCCUGAGGCAGCAACGCGCGGGCGGGAUGACGGCCUGCGGGUUGUAAACCGCUUUCAGCCAUGACGCGGUAGUGGCAGAAGAAGCACCGGCUAACUACGUGCCAGCAGCCGCGGUAAUUC